rnacentral:lncRNA from 10 species
GAAAAUUGAGUUAGAAAGCCAUGAGCCAAGGAAUGCUGGCAACCUCUAGAAGCUGAAAAUGCAAGGAAACUUAUUCUUCCUUACAGCCUCUAGAGGGGAACACCAAGGGAGACUCAUGUCAGACUUCUGACCUGCAGAACUGUAAGUAAUAAAUUGGUGUUGUUCUAAGCUACAAGGUUUAUAGUUUGUUAUGAAAGCAAAAAAAAACUAAUAUAGCACUUUUCAUGAGUGAAUAAUGAUAGCUAAACUAAUCACCACCCUUUAUGUGAUUUAUUCCAUGGCUAUUACUUAUUAAAGAGCACUCAUGUGAUUCCAUAUGCAUGCAAUUCUGAUUUCAGACAAUCACCGCUCUGAAAGUUUUGAAAAUCUUUCUAUAUUCUUGGUAACAAUAUUUCUAGAAUGUCUGCUGCUAAAUAAAAAACUAUAGACUGAAAAUAAAUUACAGGGCACGUUUCCAAUCUCAGAUUCUUGCUGUUAUCUUAAUCUUAUUUCUCUUCAGCUAUGUUUACUACUAGAAACAUCUGUGAGAAGGGCCAGAUGUGAAAUAGCUUGGAAAACAGUUUGCUGAGAGGUGCUCUACCAAAUGACUGCAUCAAUUAUUUUGACUUGGGAAACAGUGAAGCUAAGUUCAACACUGAAUAAAAAGACCAGUGUAAGAAGAGCUAAGGGACAAAAGAGAACCUGAAGUGGCCUUUCUCAUCUCGCUUUUGAGAGAAGGUAAGGAUUAAAAAGUAACUGACAUUACUUUCUCUCUCUGUAGGCCAAGGGUACUUACCCUUUAUGGUAUCAUAAAGCUCUUGGGUAAUUUAGUCAAACAUGAUGACCUUCCCUUAGCAAAUUUAAAUGAACAUUUGCACAGAAAUGCAGAGAUUUAAUGGUGACUUGAAGCCCAUCCAUGGGCUCCAGGUUAAGAUCUCCUGCUAUGAGUAUGCAUUUUUAAUCAGAAAAGUACUUGGCAAACAGAGAAUCAGGGCUCAAUAAAUGUUCAGUGACAUUCAGCUAAAAAAGUUUAAUGUAUCUUUCACAGAAGUAACAGUUAUUUUGCCGGGUUUAGAAAAAAAAAUGUCCUUAAGCUGAGAAUUAUUCUUUUAAGAUCACUGCUGAUUUGACCUUUGAGAUUAUUUUUCCUUCAAUAGUUUUAUGGUUUACCAAAUUCCCAGGUGUAGAUCAGUUAAAAGUUUAAUACAUUUCCAGACAAGUAAUAGAGGUAUGUCUUCUUUUUAGAAACAGUUGAGCAUCACUGAUUUUAUUUCAAAUAUAUUGAUAUUAUAAUUUAGCUCUAAAAUAUCAUUUUUUUCUGUUUCUGCUGGGGUUGCGGGGUAUGCAUUCAAUGUUAUCUAGCCCCACAUUGAUCCCUGUGGUGCCUCUUCUUAGAUACUUUUCUUAAACACAAUUUCUCACAUUCUCAGACCCGUGAAGUUAGGGCUGAGAAAGGUCAAUCCACUGGCCCACGCUGUCAGCUCUACCUUAGUAUGAAUGGCUGUAUUGAUUCAUCUCACACUGUCACUACUCUUUCGAUUCUAAUUGAAGCCACUGACAGAUUAAUGUAGUAGUCUACAACUCCUCUUCCUACCACAAUUUCACAAUUCAUUCUUAACACUCACUGCUCAAAAUCUUCUAAUGGCUUUUUAUCAUUCCUACAAUAUGUCUCAAACCCCUAUCUUGCUCUACAAGGCCCAUGUGGUAUAGUCUUUGCCCUGGUCAUUCAUACCACCUCAGAUAACACAUUUGUUUCACUCCAUCUAGAACCACCAAGUCUGCUUGAUGAAAAUUCCAAGCUGGUUCCUGCAUGGGGUUCUGGCCCUUGCUGUUCAUCUGCCGAGAGUGCUUGUCUCCCAAAUUUUCUCAUGGCUGGCUACUUCUCAACAUUCACAUCUCAGCUCAAACAUCACCAUUUUGGAAAGCAUAGAUGCCUAUGUCAGUCACAUCAUCUACAAUAGGUGCCUUACACACCAUCAUCCCCCCACACCAUUCUUUCAUUUUCAUUUUCCUAUUAUCUUAACCUGUUAGUAUCUAUGACUUUUUUCCUACUUGUCCGUAUAUAUUUAUUUAUUGUAUUACCAAAUUUCAGUUUAGUCUAUAACAAUGUGAAUCCCCAGAGGGUAGAAAUUUGUCUUCCUGACUGCUCUGUUCCCAGUAUAUAGCACAGUAACUGACACAUGUUAUACACUUAGCAAAAAGUAGUUGGAUGGAUGAAUCAAUAAAUGAGAAAAAUCAGUUCAUUCUCUAAUUAAUUAAUUAAUUAAUGUAUUUUUAACCAAACUUCCCUGGGCAUGAACUAUGUAUAAAGCAGAAUGACAGGCAGUAAGCCAUAUACUAAAAGCAAGAGGAACCAUAAAUUCACGCAUAGUUCAUAGUCGAGAUGCCCAGGUGUAAUAGAAUGUAGAAUGUUCCAAGUACCCUAAGACAGAUGCAGAUAAUUUGCUUUUGGAGUUCAGAAACAAAAGGUAGCUGUUUAUAGCAAGAUGGAUUGAAUCACCUGGUUCAUUCCUCCAGUAGUGAAUAGCAGCCCAUCUGCUACCUUAGGUUCUAGGAAGCUUAAUGUGGCAGCAAAUUCAUGGAUAAAUUGGAUGGGAAAGAAGCCGGAGGUAAGAAGUGUAGCUCUGAAGACAUCAGCAGACAGUGAAGAGGAAAUGAAAGGGUCAUGUGACUUGGAGAUUAAGCAAAUGCACCAGAGGAAAAGCCUGAUACAUAGUUGGUCACAUUGCAUUAAGGGAAUUGCUUUCUCUAUAUAGAAAUUAAUUUGAUAUCAAUUUUAUUGAUUUUUGGCACUUUACUAUCUCUUUAUUCAGUUUAAGAUGCUCAUCAUUAAGAAUGUGAGGACUUCCUCUUUGUAAGGAAUUAUUUAGACUGAUGGAGUCUUAGAAGCCAGCAGGACUCCAUAGUCAACCUGAAGAUGGAUGACAUAGUAAAGGUUGAUGAUGGAAUCUAUUACAAUGUCCUUGAGGAAGACAAAAGAGUCACAAAGUCUAACAUAUAGUCUUCCCCCAAAAUUAGGUCUUCUUUUAGAGUACCCUAAUUCAGAGAAUAGCAGCACAACUAUUUUACUGUAUAAGCAAGGUUUCUGGGAAAAAAAUCCGACACAUUUCACUUUCCCUCACAUAUGACAUGAUCCAGUUUAAGUCUGGGAGAAUGAAAGCUUAAAGCCAAGGAGUGUAUGACCUACUAAUAAUAAAAACUGACCACUAAUUUACAACUAAGGACAAUCGAUAUGGAGGUAUUAUAUUGGAUGUAAUAUCAAUCAGAAUUACAAGCACAUGGACUUGCCCAAGAUAAUUAAACUUCAAAUAUAAAUUGCUAAUUUGAGAACUCAUUGAAGGAUGUAACGGUGGAAGCGAUACACCUACAUUUAUUUUGGAAAACUGUUUAUUAUUACAUGAACAGCUUGAACCACCUCCAUUUACAUAUCAUCAUCUUUUGAAGUAAAAAGACCUGGAUCUGACUUCCUUCCUUCUUUCUUUCCUAUUCUUUUAUUUUUAAGUUUAUAUCAUGAAAUGCAUAUAAUAGACUAUAUAUAAUAUGAGUGUAUAAAGUCUAAAGAUAAAAUGACAAUAUAAUAAACUACUAUCCAGCCUAAGAAAGACACUUCUGGAUCAUAAUUCUUCCCUUCAUAAAAAGAAAACCAUCGCACUGAAUAUUUUAAUCAUAAUUUUCUUGAUCUUCUUUAUAGGAAAGUUUUACCCAUGUCUGGCCAUUCUGUAAAUGAAAUCCUAUCAUAAGCUUUUUUAGUGUGUAGUUUUUUCUUCCUGCAAAAGCUUAAUUUUUAUGUCAUCCAUCAAAAGGCCUUUUACAUAUUUUACAUUAUGCACACAAAUAAUAUAUCUAUAGUAUGUAUUUGCAGUUUAAUUAAUAAUGUUAAUGAAACAAACAGGUAUAUACACACAAACUGGUUUAACAACAGAAAAUUACCAAUAAUUUUAAUUGGUAAUUUUCAGUCAGCUUCUCUCUGAGCAUAGGAACCGCUAUCCAACUUAGAGAAAAAAACUUUUUGUCUCUUAAUUUUUUUUUGUUUUUUCUUAGCAUGUGACCACAAAUACAUGCAUUCCUUUACAAUAUUUUUAGCUUUAUGUAUUUUAACAUUCAUGUAAAUGAAAUUACUAUAAAUAUUCAAAAUUACUUGACUUUUCUCUUCAAUAUUUUGUAUUUUAUAUCCAUGUUGUUUCAUGAAACUAUAGUUAGCCCCUGUGCAUUGCUGUAGACUAUUUUACAAUUUGACUACACUAUGAUUUACUUCUCUGUUUUUUGGUCUUCUAACUGUUAUUGCUGCUUCUAUUGUGGAUGAUGCUGCUUUGCACUUUCUGGCACACCUCUCCUGAUAUACAUGUGCAAGAGUUUAUUUCGGUUAUACAUAUUCUUACAUAUUUACUGUGAAGUUAUGAAUUAGAAGUAAUCAAAUUUUCCAUGUAACUUUGGAUUAUUAUUUCAACAUCUUUGAUUCAGGUAUACCCUAUCAUUUUAUCAGUGUUCUUGUUUUAUGUUGCCAAACUUGAUAUAGGCUGGUAUCUUAAGUGUAUUAUUUUUUCAUUUCCCAAUUGAAUAAGGGUAAAGUUAUGCUCAUUUUGUUUUUCAAUCUCAUUCCACUUAUUGCAUUUGAGGUUAAACAAAUGUUCACUGGGCCGGGCGUGGUGGCUCAUGCCUGUAAUCCCAGCACUUUGGGAGGCCAAGGCGAGUGGAUCGCCUGAGGUCAGGAAUUCGAGACCAGCCUGGCCAACAUAGUGAAACCCCGUCGCUAUUAAAAAUACAAAACUUAGCCUGGCAUGGUGGCAGGUGCCUGUAAUCCCAGCUACUCAGAAAGCUGAGGCAGGAGAAUUGCUUCAACCUGGGAGACGGAGGUUGCGGCGAGCCAAGAUCGCGCCAUUGAACUCAAGCAUGAGUGACAAGAGCAAGACUUUGUCUCAAAAAAAAAAAAAAAAAUUCACUGGACAUUUCUGUUUUCUUGUCUAUGAAAUCCCUUUUCAUCCAUUUUGCCCAUCUUUCUAUUGUGAAGUCAGUCUCUUGUAUUGAUUUACAGACCUUCAUUUUGUGUUCUGGUUAUUUUGUCAGGUUUACAUAUAACAAAUAUUCUCUAAUUUUUUGCUUUGUGCUUUCACUCUCCUUACGGUAGCUUUUAAUAAAUAGAGUUUUUUUAUUUUUGUGUGCUCAGAUUUAUAUGUCUUUCCUUUAACUUGUUUCUUCUAAGGUGUUAAGUUUUUGUCAUAUAUAGAUUCUAUAAUAUUAAUUCUUUUAUAAAGUUUUUACAUUUAAACUCUUAAAUGUUUAAAACCUUAUUUUUGUGAAUAUAAUGAAGUGAUACUUUUUAUUCUCUCUUAUAUUUGACUAAUUGUUCUAUUCUUUUGAAUCAUCAUUCUAUUCCCACUGAUUUUAAAUCAAAAUCUAUCAAAAAUUAAACACGGAUUUAUCCAUAUGUCUUCCAUCCUCUACCAUCUUCAAUUACCUAUAACUGCACAAAACCAAAAUCAGGUAUAGUCUUUAUUACUAUACGUUUAUUAUAAGUCUUGAUAUCUGCAGCCAAGUCUUAUUAUUUUCCUUUAUAAAAGUAUUAAUAAAUAUUGGCUCUUUGCUAUUCUGAGGAAUAUAUUAUUUGAGUUGUCAAUUUUCAGUCAUGCUCCUCCCAGAAAUGCUUUCUGAGUUUAUUAGAAUUAUAACAAAUUAGUAUAUAAUUUAUUAUUAGAAGUUGAAGUUUUUAUAAUAUUUACUUAGGUAAUCCUUAAUGGCUAUAAAGUAAAAUUGUCUGAUUUUCUCUCUAAGGUUCUUGCACCAUUAUUUUUAUUCAAGGGGAUCUUAGUUUUGUUUCUAUUAAAAGUAGUAUCCAUUUUAAAUGACACAUUUUAUAAUAUAACUAUUACUGAUAAUUAGAAACACAAUUUACUUUUUUCUUGUGUGGAUUAGAUAUCUGACAAACUUGUUCAACUCUCUCAUGAAUUUCAUAAUUAUCUGUAGAUUACAUUAGGGUACUAUAUAGAAAAAAAAUAUUUUCUGGAAGUAAUGAUAAUAAGUUUUUCCUUUCCCAUCCUCCUAAUCCUUCCUUCCUUCCUUCCCUUCUUCCUUCGUUCCUUCCUUCCUUCCUUCAUUCCUCCCCUCCUUCCUUCCUUCUUUCCUUCCUUAAAGAUUUCUUAGUUUUAAGUUAUAUACCUGGUUAAAAUGUUGUAGAGAAAUGUUGUAGAGAAGGGGCGGAAAACAUGCAAGCAUGCAUGCAUGCACAAUGACUGGGAAAAAGGAGAAUUUCCUAAAAUUGCCUUUUCUUUUUCUUUAUUCAAUUAGAAAUGUUAUAAAAACAGGAUAAAGCAAAAAUGACUAUCAAUUAUUUAAGCUUAGAAGUAUUCAUAAUUGCCAUAAUUCUCUGCCAGAUAUUUGUCCAGGAGUAGUAAAUAAAAUUUGUCUCCUAUAGAGAAUGUCAAGGACUGUCGUAGGGAAGUGAAAAAAUAUGAAAACUAAACUUCGCUUACAUUGACAAAUUCAUUAUAAAUAGGGUCUCAGAGGAAAAUCACUGUUAUGUAUUUCUUUAUGGGUGAAUCAUAAGUAAAAAUAGAAAAAAUUUUAUGUCUGUUCGAUUAUGAACUAAAUUCUGUCAGGUAAAUUCCUAUGAUUUUCUUUGAAGUCAGCACUAAUUAAACUCAUUCACGGUUCCUCUGUGAAUGUUCAAUUUUACUACAAUUUUGACUUUGAUUAAUUUGAACACUGAAGAAAAGACUUUUCAGAAACCAUGUGAGCAAAAUGUUUUCUCCAACCCAGUAGCACUAUUCAUUUAAUCUUUCUACAAGGUAUACAUAGAUCAGAAUAUUUCAUUGUACCCCAUAAAUAUAAACAAUUAUUUGUCAAAUAAAAAUAAGUUAAUGAAAUAAAAUAAAAUAAAAUCUGCACCUAAAAAAAGAAACAUAUUUGGAAACUGAAACUAUGUGGGUAUUUCUAAUUACAGCAGUUACGAACCAACAUUUCUCUCUUGUUAACAAAGUCACAGUACUGAAGUAGUCUGGCCUCUAUGACUUUAGGAAAAUUGUGGGGUUUUGCAUGUAAAACUUUAUAUUUGCUUAAUAUUUCUACCUUUUGUGCAAGUUUGCUCAAAUGCUACCCUUUUUCUGGAGAUAUGUGUAGUUUGAUUUAGAAUGAAAAACUUCUGAAAGUUUGAUGUGAGGAUACAGAGCUGGGCAGAUUCCAAGAUUAAAGAGAAGAACCACGACAUAAAGAGGUAGGAAGCCUGAGUUGUUGCUGUUUUGAGGAUGACUAGUUGUGUAUUCUGAAAAUGACCAUUUUGUUUGUCUUGAUCUGCUUUCCUCUAUCUUUAAAAUAACAGGGAUAUGGGACUAGAUCAUCUAUGACAAUGCCUCUCUUAAAAAUUUAUACCAGUAUAAUUGGCACAAUUAAGCACUGAAUAAAUUAGAUGAAACUCAGCCACAUCAAAUCCAGUACACAAGCAGCAAUAAGAGUGAAUCAGUCCCACGCAGCUAAGUGCAAUGAGAAAAGCAGUGGACACUUCUAUUUACUCCCUUCUAUUUACCUCUUUGGUGUAUUUUUGGUUAUUUCUUGGCUUUCCUAUAUCCCUAGUUUCAGAAAACCAUCUUAGCAUGGCUUCUCAGUUAUGAGUUGUCCUUGGCUAGAGAAGGUCUAGGCUGAGGUUUCUCAAUGAAUACUCAAGAGUUGUGUUGAGUGUAGUAGUUACAAGUUGGCUUCAUAGCUAUAGCACCGCGAAUUGCCACAUCUGUAGCAUAGUAUUAGUGAUUGCAAUAAUAACACUAUUUAGUGGUGCUCUAAAAUUAGAAAAGAUAAUGCCUAUGAAGUGUGUGCUCAAUAAACGUUAGACACUGUUAAAAUUAUAAUAACAAUUAUUAUUAUUUCCCAGAGUGCUUGUUAAAUUCAGAUUUCUUGGCUUCAUCCCCAUUGGCAACCUAGGAGUGUAAUUUUAGUGAGAAGAGAUUGCAGUGUGGGGCCUUCCAUGUGCAGAAUCAUGAAUCACCAUCAAUGACCUCUUUUUCAUAGCAUAAGGACAAGAGGUUUUAUAUCAAAAGAUAAAUGGGCCAUCGUCUCUUAUAAAACUUGAAUUCUACUCCAAACUCCAGGUGUGAACCUUGAUUCUACCGGAUGCUAAAUUCAAGCAAGUUUUACUUUUGUGGAAGUUGACAAACUGAUUUUGAAAUUCACUUAGAAAUGCAAAUAGACAAUAGUAGCCAUGUUACUCUAAAAAUCAAAGAAAAACUAAUGUAUUUAUAUUUCCAAACUUCAGUAAUUUUUAAAAUAUUUAAAUCUUUAAAAAUAUUUAGGCCUGGCGUGGUGGCUCACGCCUGUAAUGCCAGCACUUUGGGAGGUCGAGGCGGGCAGAUGACGAGGUCAGGAG